rnacentral:rRNA from 1 species
AACGAACGCUGGCGGCAUGCCUAACACAUGCAAGUCGAACGGGAUCCGGACUUCGGUUCGGUGAGAGUGGCGGAACGGUGAGUAACGCGUGGGAACCUGCCCAGCGGUGGGGGAUAACUUCGGGAAACAGCUGCUAAUACCGCAUGAGCACGAGCGGGGGAAGAGUUAUGGCCGUUGGAGGGGCCCGUGUUCGAUGAGGUAGUUGGUGGGGUAACGGCCCACCAAGCCGACGAUCGAUAGCUGGUCUGAGAGGAUGAUCAGCCACACUGGGACUGAGAUACGGCCCAGACUCCUACGGGAGGCAGCAGUGGGGAAUAUUGGACAAUGGGGGCAACCCUGAUCCAGCAAUGCCGCGUGAGUGAUGAAGGCCUUCGGGUUGUAAAGCUCUUUUGCCAGGGACGAUGAUGACGGUACCUGGAGAAUAAGCCCCGGCUAACUUCGUGCCAGCCGCCGCAGUAAGAC